CCAAAGGCUCUUUUCAGAGCCACCCACUCUAUCACUGAAAGAAGC
rfam:Tupaia chinensis contig216715, whole genome shotgun sequence.